rnacentral:rRNA from 1 species
UACAGAGGGAGCAAGCGUUAUACGGAAUUAUUGGGCGUAAAGAGCGCGUAGGCGGUUCGAUAAGUCUGGUGUGCAAUACCUGGACUUAAUUCAGGAAGUGCAUUGGAUACUGUCGGACUAGAGUACAGGAGAGGAGAGCGGAAUUCCUGGUGUAAAGGUGAAAUUCGUAGAGAUCAGGAGGAACAACAGAGGCGAAGGCGACUCUCUGGACUGUAACUGACGCUGAGGCGCGAAAGCGUGGGGAGCAAACAGG